AAUAUUGCACAAUGGGCGCAAGCCUGAUGCAGCCAUGCCGCGUGUAUGAAGAAGGCCUUCGGGUUGUAAAGUACUUUCAGCAGUGAGGAAGGUGGAUAUGUUAAUAGCAUAUUCAUUUGACGUUAGCUGCAGAAGAAGCACCGGCUAACUCCGUGCCAGCAGCCGCGGUAAUACGGAGGGUGCGAGCGUUAAUCGGAAUUACUGGGCGUAAAGCGCAUGCAGGUGGUUUGUUAAGUCAGAUGUAGAAACGACCCGGAGCUACAACCUACGGAAUUGCUAUUUAGAAACUGGACAAACUAGAGUACUGUAGAGGGGGUAGAAUUUCAGGUGUAGCGGUGAAAUGCGUAGAGAUCUGAAGGAAUACCGGUGGCGAAGGCGGCCCCCUGGACAGAUACUGACACUCAGAUGCGAAAGCGUGGGGAGCAAACAGGAUUAGAUACCCUGGUAG
rnacentral:rRNA from 1 species